rnacentral:rRNA from 1 species
CCCUUAUAUGUUCUGGGCUGCACGCGCGCUACACUGAUGCGUUCAACGAGUUUAUGACCUUGCCCGAUAGGGUUGGGUAAUUUUUGUAAACCGCAUCGCGAUGGGGUAGAUUACUGCAGUUUUUUAAUCUUCAACGAGGAGUUCCUAGUAAGCGCGAGUCGCCAGCUCGUGCUGAUUACGUCCCUGCCCCUUGUAAACACCGCCCGUCGCUCGCACCGAUUGAGUGAUCCGGUGAGUAAUUCGGACUGCAGCAGUUUUCAGUUCCUGAACGUUGCAGCGGAAAGUUUAGUGGUCUUUAUCACUUGGAGGAAGGAGAUGUCUUAGCA